GCCGCGGGGCACCGACUCCUCACCGUGGGGAGCGUGACACUGCGUGGCGCUCCUCCUCGCCCCCCCGGGACCGUGGAAGGCGUGGGCCGAAGUGCUUCUCCUCCCGCGAGGUCCCCCAAGCUCCGCAGCUGACAGCCCUUGCCAGGAGCUGCCAAGAUCCACCUGGCUCCUCCUCUUCGAGCCCAAUUCCAGGGCACUCAGUGUCUACCAAGAACUUCAGCACCUAAAAUGGUCACUCAGUCCUCUCCACCCAGAACUCUCAUCAUCCUCAUUCUUUAGGAACUUAUGAUUCAGUGUUGCUGCUUAGGGAGCUUGGUCACCUCCACCCUGCACUGUGGAUGUCUGAGACAAACAAGUGGACAGACCAGACGACUAGAGACUUGGAACACAUAUCCAUAGGCUUCCCUGGUCAGUCUUACAGAACCUCACCUGGCCAUGCUCACCGGAUUGAAGCCAACCAGGACCGGCAAGAAGACAUCUGUGUUAUCCAUGCAGUAGUCCAUCUGGCCUGCCACAAAGGGUGCCUGAGAGUAGCAAGAAAGGAAGGGAUCCUUUGGCCCCAGAUACAUGUGUAGCAGAGGAUGGCCUUGCCCGACAGCAACGAGAGGGAAGGCCCUUGGUCCC